rnacentral:tRNA from 1 species
GGUCCUGUGGUGUAAUGGUUAUCACAUCUGCUUCACACGCAGAAGGUGCCCGGUUCGAUCCCGGCCAGGACCU